GGUUCCAUAACUCAGUUGGUUAGAGUGUGAUGCUAAUAGAUGAUCAAAAUGAUCACAUAUAUGGCGACGUCAAAGUCGAGGGUUCGACCCCCUCUGGAACCA
rnacentral:tRNA from 1 species